CCUACGGGGGGCAGCAGUGGGGGAUAUUGCACAAUGGGGGAAACCCUGAUGCAGCGACGCCGCGUGGGCGAAGAAGUAUUUCGGUAUGUAAAGCCCUAUCAGCAGGGAAGAAGAAAUGACGGUACCUGAGUAAGAAGCACCGGCUAAAUACGUGCCAGCAGCCGCGGUAAUACGUAUGGUGCAAGCGUUAUCCGGAUUUACUGGGUGUAAAGGGAGCGCAGGCGGCACGGCAAGCCUGAUGUGAAAGCCCGCGGCCCAACCGCGGGACUGCAUUGGGAACUACCGGGCUGGAGUGCCGGAGAGGUAGGCGGAAUUCCUAGUGUAGCGGUGAAAUGCGUAGAUAUUAGGAGGAACACCAGUGGCGAAGGCGGCCUACUGGACGGUGACUGACGCUGAGGCUCGAAAGCGUGGGGAGCAAACAGGAUUAGAUACCCGGGUA
rnacentral:rRNA from 1 species